rnacentral:rRNA from 1 species
CGGGGUGAGUAACACGUGGAUAACCUACCUAUAAGACUGGGAUAACUUCGGGAAACCGGAGCUAAUACCGGAUAANAUUUUGAACCGCAUGGUUCAAAAGUGAAAGACGGUCUUGCUGUCACUUAUAGAUGGAUCCGCGCUGCAUUAGCUAGUUGGUAAGGUAACGGCUUACCAAGGCAACGAUGCAUAGCCGACCUGAGAGGGUGAUCGGCCACACUGGAACUGAGACACGGUCCAGACUCCUACGGGAGGCAGCAGAG